rnacentral:rRNA from 1 species
GACGAACGCUGGCGGCGUGCUUAACACAUGCAAGUCGAACGGAAAGGCCCUGCUUGCCGGGUACUCGAGUGGCGAACGGGUGAGUAACACGUGGGUGAUCUGCCCUGCACUUCGGGAUAAGCCUGGGAAACUGGGUCUAAUACCGGAUAGGAGCCAUUUUUAGUGUGAUGGUUGGAAAGUUUUUUCGGUGUAGGAUGAGCUCGCGGCCUAUCAGCUUGUUGGUGGGGUAAUGGCCUACCAAGGCGGCGACGGGUAGCCGGCCUGAGAGGGUGGACGGCCACAUUGGGACUGAGAGACGGCCCAGACUCCUACGGGAGGCAGCAGUGGGGAAUAUUGCACAAUGGGCGCAAGCCUGAUGCAGCGACGCCGCGGGGGGGAUGACGGCCUUCGGGUUGUAAACUCCUUUCGCUAGGGACGAAGCUUUUUGUGACGGUACCUAGAUAAGAAGCACCGGCUAACUACGUG